GUUGGGAAGAAUGGAACCAAGUCUACCCAAUUAAAAGGCUUACACAGGUCCCCUUCCAGAUGCUGAUGUCUUGGCUUCUGGUGCAAAACUACGUCAGAUUAAUCCCAAGCCUUUGCUGCCGCAAAUACUUGAGGGCAUGUCAAAAGUAGAGUUGUACCUCUUGGCAGUCCACUUUCAUUCCAGUGUCCCCGUAUAGCUGCAGGUGUUCCUGAUCUUAAUUUCCCCCCACUACCUGUGCUUGGUUUUCAGUUUGGCUGUAAUUUUAAAUUUGGCCAGACGGACGAGUGCAUGAUCCAUCUGAAACAUUCGUUUGGACUAGUGGAGGUAAAAAGCACCUCUGCUGAAAACAUUGCUCAGGUUCCAUUUAUGAAAAUUCAAAGAGGACUAGCCAAACUUAAAGAGACCCAUAAGUACUACUGGCAGGUACAAGGUCAGACUGCAGAGACUGGUCUACACUGGUGUGACUUUGUGACUGACACACAAUCAGAUUUCAUAAUACAGAUGAUCUGGCGAGAUGAUGCCUUCAUAACAUCAAUGAAAGUACUGUUAUAACGUUUAUCUGGAUGUGUAUCUUUCAGUGGUAUGAAUGGACAGAUUCUGUUCAUAUUAUAGUAUGAACCUAAGAUUUAUUUUUACAUUCAUAGUAAAUAUAUACUUUAUGUAGUUGAGUAGUAUGUAGCAUAUUUUGUAGUAGAUCUUUGAUAACAUAUUAGAUACAUCACAAAUUAUAACAAUAAAUAUAUUGUACUUGCUAUUAGAUAAAUGUACAUACCAAGGUGAAUACUUUUUGUAUGAAAUCUUCUGUAAUGUAUAUGAUAUGCAUAUUCUUUUACUACUUGCGUAUAUUUACAUUUGAUACAUUGUGUGAUAUAACAAAGAAGAUUUUUUUCAUGAGUUAUUAUAAAAAUACUUUUCAUUGUCAACUA